GCGUUGUCCGGAAUUAUUGGGCGUAAAGAGCUCGUAGGCGGUUUGUCGCGUCUGCUGUGAAAACGCAAGGCUCAACCUUGCGCCUGCAGUGGGUACGGGCAGACUAGAGUGCGGUAGGGGAGAUUGGAAUUCCUGGUGUAGCGGUGGAAUGCGCAGAUAUCAGGAGGAACACCGAUGGCGAAGGCAGAUCUCUGGGCCGUAACUGACGCUGAGGAGCGAAAGCGUG
rnacentral:rRNA from 1 species